rnacentral:rRNA from 1 species
CGAAUGCUGACAUAAGUAACGAUAAAGCGGGUGAAAAGCCCGCUCGCCGGAAGACCAAGGGUUCCUGUCCAACGUUAAUCGGGGCAGGGUGAGUCGACCCCUAAGGCGAGGCCGAAAGGCGUAGUCGAUGGGAAACAGGUUAAUAUUCCUGUACUUGGUGUUACUGCGAAGGGGGGACGGAGAAGGCUAUGUUGGCCGGGCGACGGUUGUCCCGGUUUAAGCGUGUAGGCUGGUUUUCCAGGCAAAUCCGGAAAAUCAAGGCUGAGGCGUGAUGACGAGGCACUACGGUGCUGAAGCAACAAAUGCCCUGCUUCCAGGAAAAGCCUCUAAGCAUCAGGUAACAUCAAAUCGUACCCCAAACCGACACAGGUGGUCAGGUAGAGAAUACCAAGGCGCUUGAGAGAACUCGGGUGAAGGAACUAGGCAAAAUGGUGCCGUAACUUCGGGAGAAGGCACGCUGAUAUGUAGGUGAAGUCCCUCGCGGAU